AGCGAACGCUGGCGGCAGGCCUAACACAUGCGAGUCGAACGAACUCUUCGGAGUUAGUGGCGGACGGGUGAGUAACACGUGGGAACGUGCCUUUUGGUUCGGAAUAACUCAGGGAAACUUGUGCUAAUACCGAAUGUGUCCUUCGGGGGAAAGAUUUAUCGCCAUUAGAGCGGCCCGCGUCUGAUUAGCUAGUUGGUGAGGUAACGGCUCACCAAGGCGACGAUCAGUAGCUGGUCUGAGAGGAUGACCAGCCACACUGGGACUGAGACACGGCCCAGACUCCUACGGGAGGCAGCAGUGGGGAAUCUUGCGCAAUGGGCGAAAGCCUGACGCAGCCAUGCCGCGUGAAUGAUGAAGGUCUUAGGAUUGUAAAAUUCUUUCACCGGGGACGAUAAUGACGGUACCCGGAGAAGAAGCCCCGGCUAACUUCGUG
rnacentral:rRNA from 1 species